rnacentral:misc_RNA from 1 species
CUUCAUAAACGCGAUGUUUUCAUUGAUCCUGGUAUUGUGUCUGUGAAGAGUGCGCGAGCAGUUCGCUGCGAGCCCGCCAGCACAAAACUGACGACCCUCGUGACAGGGAGACAGGUGAGGUGAAGCCAGUUAGAUCAGGCGCGGUGAACUCUGGGAUACAUCUUGCCUGCCAGACGACAAUCCCGACUCAAUAGUCACUUGACAAAACUUUCCGGCGGGUGACGGACUCUCAAAGAAACGUCUUUAUAGGUACUGUGAUAUCUUUUAAAGUUCAGCCAAAUACUUCUUUGUGCUAGAAAGAGUGACAGGAAAAAGACUAGCGGUUUUUACCGGAGCUCCGGGAGCCACGCCGGACUCUUUGACUUUUCUCGGUCCUUGUCAUCCAAAUGGCGUCCACACCAGCUCUGUACAUGCUUGCCGUGCUAUUUGUCACAUGCAUAGUUAUUACUACACACGGAUUUAGUUUGAAAGGAUUCUGUGCCUCAAACUGCGCUAGAGGAAAAGGUGGCAACGUGUGUAAAUGUAACGGCUUUCACUUUGCCGGAAAGCGAGUGGUUCCCUCCCCAGACUCUGCUCUUUUAACAGACUCCAUGGGCGACUCGAAAGAAGAAAACUUUCUUGAGUUGGAUUCCGAGGGUUUUGGUGUUUUUGGAUAUCCUAAAGAUGACUCGAGGAGACGGACCAUGAAAAAUACAAACAGUCCAGGGAAUUUUCGUGCUCUUCUAGAAAAAUAUCUCGCUGAGAGGUAUUCCCGAGGGGGCGGGUUCGGCCCUGCUUCCAACCCGGAUUCGUGGUCUGAAGUCUACCGUACUGAAAACUGAUUCCUAGCAUCCAGGGGAGGCAACCGCCGUGGGAAUAUUUGACAACUUCCAGCACCACCAUAUUUCAGACACGUGACGCCCAGGGGAGAUGACUAACACCAGAAAUUUGCCGCUACGUCUGUCCAAUCAUUAAUCGAGUAUUAGACAACAUCAUACACAUACGCACACAGGACUAUAAAUGAUCCAUAUAGUUAUAAUCUUUCAUGACUUAAAACCAUAGACUUAUAGCAUACAAAACGAUGACUUCGUUAUGAAAUGAUUUGUAUUAGUUGUUAUCAAAUAGUUGCUCACUUUGGUACAUUCCCGCUUGAUCUAUCCUGACCCCGCCUUGCCCGAGUUUUGAAGAGUGCAGAAACAUGUUUGAAACGCAACUACUUUGUCAAUAGCGUCAACAAAUGUGUGUUUGAAGCACACACAAUAUCAAAGAUUAAAUUACACAUUCAGAUAAUGGUUUCAUUUGCAUCAAAACAUAUUUGAUGCAAGCAUGCGAACCAGUCCGACACUUUCCCAGCAUCAUGUUAUCCUGAAAACGCUAUUGGUAAAGUACUCUCUCAGGAACAACUUUGAGAAAUCUCAUUUGGGCAGAGAAACCCGAGCGGGCACGUACCUUAGGAGACACGACUAAUGUGUUUGUUGGUAAUGUGAAAUAAGAUGACCCGAGUAAAUCGUUUCCUGUAACCUGCUGCAAUUUGAAGCCGACAACAUCUACGCGUAUUACGGCACCUGAUCAAGUCAUACUGAUUAUUUUGAAUUAAAGUAUCAUGGACAGA